CCUACGGGAGGCAGCAGUGAGGAAUAUUGGUCAAUGGGCGCAAGCCUGAACCAGCCAAGUCGCGUGAGGGAUGACGGUCCUAUGGAUUGUAAACCUCUUUUGUCGGGGAGCAAGGCCCGCCACGUGUGGCGGGAAGGAGAGUACCCGAAGAAAAAGCAUCGGCUAACUCCGUGCCAGCAGCCGCGGUAAUACGGAGGAUGCGAGCGUUAUCCGGAUUUAUUGGGUUUAAAGGGUGCGUAGGCGGCCUUUUAAGUCAGCGGUGAAAGUCUGUGGCUCAACCAUAGAAUUGCCGUUGAAACUGGGAGGCUUGAGUAUGUUUGAGGCAGGCGGAAUGCGUGGUGUAGCGGUGAAAUGCUUAGAUAUCACGCAGAACCCCGAUUGCGAAGGCAGCCUGCCAAGCCAUGACUGACGCUGAUGCACGAAAGCGUGGGGAUCAAACAGGAUUAGAUACCCUUGUAGUC
rnacentral:rRNA from 1 species